rnacentral:rRNA from 1 species
GACGAACGCUGGCGGCGUGCCUAACACAUGCAAGUCGAACGGAAAGGCCCUGCUUUUGUGGGGUGCUCGAGUGGCGAACGGGUGAGUAACACGUGAGUAACCUGCCCUUGACUUUGGGAUAACUUCAGGAAACUGGGGCUAAUACCGGAUAGGAGCUCCUGCUGCAUGGUGGGGGUUGGAAAGUUUCGGCGGUUGGGGAUGGACUUGGGGCUUAUGAGCUUGUUGGUGGGGUAGUGGCUUACGAAGGCUUUGACGGGUAGCCAGCCUGAGAGGGUGACCGGCCACAUGGGGACUGAGAUAGGGCCCAGAGGGGUACGGGAGGCAGCAGUGGAAAAUAUUGCACAAUGGGCCGAAGCGUGAUACAGCGACGCCGGGUGCGGAAUGACGGCCUUCGGGGUAUAAACCGCUUUCGCCUGUGACGAAGCGUGAGUGACGGUAAUGGGUAAAGAAGCACCGGCUAACUACGUG